rnacentral:misc_RNA from 1 species
UUUCCGUAGGUGAACCUGCGGAAGGAUCAUUAUUGAAUAAGCUUGGUUGGGUUGUUGCCGGCUCAUCGGUGCAUGUGCACGCCCGCUCCAUUUUUAACCACCUGUGCACCUUGUGUAGCUCUGAACAACUCUCUGGGAAACUCGGUCAGAGGAUUGCUGUGUGUAAAAGCCAGCUUUUUUUGGUUUCAGAUCUAUGUCUCUGUAUACACCUUAAGAAUGUAUUGGAAUGUAAUUGACAGGCAUUACAGCCUUUAAAAUUCAAAUACAACUUUCAACAACGGAUCUCUUGGCUCUC